GACGAACCGUGCGAACGUUGUUCGGAAUCACUGGGCUUAAAGGGCGCGUAGGCGGGUCACCAAGUCUGGGGUGAAAUCUUUCGGCUCAACCGGAAAAUUGCCUUGGAUACUGGUGGUCUCGAGGGAGGUAGGGGCAUGUGGAACUUCCGGUGGAGCGGUGAAAUGCGUUGAUAUCGGAAGGAACACCAGUGGCGAAGGCGACUACCUGGCCUGUUCUUGACGCUGAGGCGCGAAAGCUAGGGGAGCAAACGGG
rnacentral:rRNA from 1 species